GAUGAACGCUAGCGAUAGGCUUAACACAUGCAAGUCGAGGGGCAGCAUGGUCUUAGCUUGCUAAGACUGAUGGCGACCGGCGCACGGGUGCGUAACGCGUAUGCAACUUGCCUCACAGAGGGGGAUAACCCGUCGAAAGACGGACUAAUACCGCGUACACUCCAUCUUGGGCAUCCAAGGUAGAGGAAAUGAAAUUCGCUGUGAGAUAGGCAUGCGUCCCAUUAGCUAGUUGGUGAGGUAACGGCUCACCAAGGCGACGAUGGGUAGGGGAACUGAGAGGUUGAACCCCCACACUGGUACUGAGACACGGACCAGACUCCUACGGGAGGCAGCAGUGAGGAAUAGUGGUCAAUGGGCGAGAGCCUGAACCAGCCAAGUCGCGUGAAGGAUGACUGUCUUAUGGAUUGUAAACUUCUUUUAUACGGGAAUAACAAGAGUCACGUGUGACUCCCUGCAUGUACCGUAUGAAUAAGCAUCGGCUAACUCCGUG
rnacentral:rRNA from 1 species